rnacentral:lncRNA from 1 species
CAACCUGUCGCUUUCAUAUAUAAUAUAUAAUGUAAUUACAAAAUAAGGUGAGCAUAAGUCAUCACACUAUACAACAAUGAGGUAAGCUAGUAACAAUAUUGUGAUCAUGAACCCUUAGCAAAAAAAUCAUAUACUAUCCUUAAACUAUAAUCCAAAAGUUGCCUUCACCUUCCCAGUAAAAAAUGGUCAAUCUACAUGUUUUAACAUCACCUUUUUGCAAAUUUCAGCAUCCAAAAU